UUUGGAUAUAAAUUAUUUUAACUUAGGUAGUACUAGUUAAGGUCUUGAAACUUAAAGAAUUUGGCGGUAUUUUAGUCUAUUUAGAGGAAUCUGUCCCUUAAUCGAUAAUCCACGCUGUACCUUACCAAAAUUUUAUGUAUGUAUACCGCCGUUAUAAUGAAAAUCUUAUUAGAGAUUAAAUAAUUUUCUGGAUUUGUUUUUAAAAGUUAUUUCAGGUCAAGGUGCAGUUUAUAUUUUGGUGGAGAUGGAUUACAUUUAUUUUAAUUAAUUUGGAUUAUUUUUUGGAAUUUGGAAAUAGGAAAUUGGAUUUAAUUGUAAUUUUUUAUAGACUAUAAUUAUGAUUAUAGCUCUAUAAUAUGU
rnacentral:rRNA from 1 species